rnacentral:tRNA from 1 species
GUGCCCAUAGCUCAAUUGGAUAGAGUAUCAGACUACGAAUCUGACGGUUAGAGGUUCGACUCCUCUUGGGCACACCA